ACCUACCUCUGUUGCUUUGGCGGGCCGCGGUCCUCCGCGGCCGCCCCCCUCCCCGGGGGGGUGGCCAGCGCCCGCCAAAGGACCAUCAAACUCCAGUCAGUAAACGAUGCAGUCUGAAAAACAUUUAAUAAACUAAAACUUUCAACAACGGAUCUCUUGGUUCUGGCAUCGAUGAAGAACGCAGCGAAAUGCGAUAAGUAAUGUGAAUUGCAGAAUUCAGUGAAUCAUCGAAUCUUUGAACGCACAUUGCGCCCUUUGGUAUUCCGAAGGGCAUGCCUGUUCGAGCGUCAUUACAACCCUCAAGCUCUGCUUGGUAUUGGGCACCGUCCUUUGCGGGCGCGCCUCAAAGACCUCGGCGGUGGCGUCUUGCCUCAAGCGUAUUAAAACAUACAUCUCGCUUCGGAGCGCAGGGCGUCGCCCGCCGGACGAACCUUCUGAACUUUUCUCAAGGUUGACCUCGGAUCAGGUAGGGAUACCCGCUGAACUUAA
rnacentral:rRNA from 1 species